GAGGGCACGUUGAAGCAAGUUGACAACAGCAAAUAUAUUUGUUUAUGUCCGCAGUUUGCUUAUUGCGUCCCCCCAAAGUCGGCAAAACCUGUCGGCGGUUGGUAGCAGUGACAAUGUCGGGUGGCAAAUCCCAUAUCCAUGACUGAAAAUACUUGUUUAACGUAAAUUAAUUAAAUAACUUAUGUUAAGAUUUUUAUUAAGAAAAUUGGGUAGCUUCAAUAUUAAAAAUCAAUUGAAUUACUUGUACAAGUACUCGCACAACCAAUCAGCUGCUGUUUCAUACGUAAUUGUAUGAUACUUAAAGUUGCUAAGAUAUUUUUGAGAAUAAAAGGUAACUCAUCCGACAUGUUCACAUCUAUCGCAUCCAUUUGAUCAUAUUAUCUAACACAAACUUGUAUCAUCGUAUGAAGCAAAAGUAUUAUGAACUUACAUAUUUUAUUUAAAUAAAUAAUUAUAUUUCAAUUGUUUUAUUUCAGAUCAAACUAGUGCUUCAAAUGUUGUUCACAAUUGAUCUCUGUUGGAAAUGUUUCCUUAUCUUACACAUUGUUAUAAAGCAUACACAACAGACAUACUCGUGUGUUUACCAUUGUAAUUGGCUUGUGUUGUGUCGUCUCUGUCAAAUCAUACACACGCCAUUCGUCUUUGUCUUUGUCCUUUGUCUUCAUAUAUUGUCUAACGUGACGUCAGUGUAGUGUAAAAACGUUUGUCCCGUGUUAGUGAGAGUGUGUGACGUUGAGAGAAGGCAUUUGGCUAUAUUGGGUGGAGUUGGGUUUGGGCUUGUUUUGUUUUCUAAGAUUAGGAGGACAGAUCAAUGGAUGGCGAGGAAUACCACGAAAAACAAGGCCGUGCUAAUACCACGCAGGAGGCCGAACAACUUCAAGGGAAUUCACCCAAUCAAAAGUCUGUCAUUAAGAGGCCGAGGAGCUAACUGAAGAACUUGAACGAGACACGUCUCAUGAAUUGAAGAGGACGUCGUUCUCCACAGGGACUAGUCGGAUCCACAACCUCAGUGUUAUAAGAGACAGGACCCACCUUAAGGUGGGAACCCGGCCAUUAUCGAAUUAAUUCCAAGUUUACCAACUGAGAUGACGUUGAAUCAGGUCAAGAUGGAAUAACUCCCCUUCGAAAGCACCAACAGCGUUUAGACGUCAUUUAUUUCGACAUCAAGGGAUACAUGCGACCAAUUGUGUUUUCAUACAAGGCAUAUCGUUGCCAUUCUCUAACAUGAGAAUAUUUAUUUGACAUUGAUCAGAAGAAUUUUACAUUUAGAAUCACAACUCAUAUCAACAAAUAAGACCUCCAUGUACUCCACAGUGAAUCAUUGCGAAUCAAUUCCGGUCCUUUAUUGGUAGAUUCUGAUACGCGUCAAGCAUCUACCAAAGGCACAGAACUAUCAACAGUUUUAAGUGAAAUGUUAUUCUAAUUUCUCUAUAUCAAACGAUCUCUUACAAUAACUGUCUCUGUGGAAUAACAUUGUAAA